GACGGAGGGUGCUAGCGUUGUUCGGAAUCACUGGGCGUAAAGGGCGCGUAGGCGGCUUUGGCCGUCGGCUGGUGAAAGCCCGGGGCUCAACCCCGGAGGUGCGGCCGAGACCCCAAAGCUGGAGGCCGGAAGAGGAGGGUGGAAUACCCAGUGUAGAGGUGAAAUUCGUAGAUAUUGGGUGGAACACCGGUGGCGAAAGCGGCUCUCUGGUCCGGACCUGACGCUGAGGCGCGAAAGCGUGGGGAGCAAACAGG
rnacentral:rRNA from 1 species